rnacentral:rRNA from 1 species
GACGAACCGUGCGAACGUUGUUCGGAAUCACUGGGCUUAAAGGGCGCGUAGGCGGCUCGCGAGGUCGGGGGUGAAAUCCCACGGCUUAACCGUGGAAGUGCCUUCGAUACCGGCGGGCUCGAGGAAGGUAGGGGUGCGCGGAACUUCUGGUGGAGCGGUGAAAUGCGUUGAUAUCAGAAGGAACGCCGGCGGCGAAAGCGGCGCACUGGAUCUUUUCUGACGCUGAGGCGCGAAAGCUAGGGGAGCAAACGGG